CACUAUAGUUCUUUAGUGAAAUAUCAAUAGUCAAUAGAGAUUAUUGUGUCUAUGAGCCCUUACGGCAGUUUAGACUGGCAUGACCUUCGGUUCUGUGCCAGCCUGGAAAGAAAAUCUUUUGUCUUUACAGCAUAACGGCACAUGACAUCUUCAGUGGGAGAUUGUCUAAGAAUAAACAUGCACACCUACUCUCUGAGUGACACGCUGUGAUCUCUGAUCUCUCUAAUGGAUUUUGUACUUUGGACACCAAGAAUCCUUCACAUAUUCACAGACAACUGAGAAGAACGCAGCAGUGCGUGCGGACUGUAACCUCAUCAUGUUUCAUCUACAGAAUAUUGUUGCUUUCAUAAUACUCUUUGCCUCCAUUUGUCAGGCUCAAGCUGGUGGUCAACGGGCAUCAUCAGAUACAGCUAAAGUCACAUUACAGCCGUGGCUGGUGGGACUGACAGCCGUUGUUGUUUUUCUCUUCAUUGUCUUCGUCCUCCUCAUCACGCAAAGACUCUUUUUCAAGAAAGACAAAGAUGAACUAGAAGAAAAGGAUGAAGUGGCUGCAUUUUAUGACAACAAAGCGGCUGAUUUGGAGGCAAAUGAGGAGACCAAGCAGACCAGUUUCUAAUGAUAGGAACAGAUGAUCACAGUCCUGCAGCACACACAAGCCUUUCUCUCUGGAAAUUAUGCCACAACCUAGCACAGAGUCAUUCUAUAUAAUUAUAUAUUAACUUAUGUAAUAUAUCAAUAUAUCAUUUUAACUUACUAAUUUUGGUCUAAGUUUUGUUUUUAGUCUUCACAAGUGUUGUUCCUCACAUCAUCCACCAGACGGAGCAGCCUUCACAUAGCUUUAACCUAAAGUUAAAAUAAAAUACAUUUUAAAAUGUAUAAACAAGUGCUCUCUAAUUUUAUUUUCAUUAUUAUGUAUUUAUUUUGUCUCAAUAUAAAUUUUACUACUUUGCUACUUUGUAACUGUAACUUGCCUAAGGUUUAAAUAUUCAUUAGGGUAGUAAGAACAUUGGAAUAGAAGAGCACACACUCUGAGUCACAUUGUGCACAUAAUGCACUGAUUAACUGGCUUUUGAUUCAUAUGACAUGUCUGGGUUCAGUAUGUAUAUAUGCUAAAUGGACAUGGUAUGAGAUCCAUUACUCAUUUUGACUGGCAGUUUGGACAUGUUAAAUGCUUCCAGUCAAAUGAUGUAACACAGUUUUGCCUUUGAAACCAUUUGCUUGCCUCGAGGGAUUAUAUGAUGAAAAUAUCAUUUGCAGAAAAAAAAUGGCCAGGUGUUCAAUUGUGUUAAUGACCAUUAUAUAUUAUAGGCUACUUGUGUUAAACUGUAGUUUAAAGUAUACAGCAUUUAAAGUUAAAGUGGACUUUGGUCUGGCAUUGGCUAAAUGAACAAUCUGUGAUUAGUAAAACUGUUGAGCUAUUAUGAUGUAAUAAAAUAAUAAAAUCCCUAACCCAUGCUUUUUAUAUUGAUAUGGUGCCUCUAUUUGGUAAUGUUAACUUAAGAACUACUGGUUUUUCAUUACAUUUUAAUUAACAUUUAACUGUGUGUAGGCCAUUGUUGUCCUGGCUGUACUGCUCGAGGCUUCCUAUACAUGGGAAACAGUUUAGCUGAAACAGUGCUGACGAGUGACAGUAACUAAGCCUACAGUCAGCAGCAAUAAGUGAAGCAUGAAACCAGAUAGAGAGAGAGUGAGAGAGAGUCUCCUUAUUCUCAUUCACCACUGCUGCCUUGAACUUUAUAUUUCGUUGUUUUUAUUCUGGUUCCUGAGCGACGUCGUCUUUGCUUCAUGCAUCACUUGAGAGCUGGUGACAGAUGAAUUAUUCGUUCUCUUCUAACAUUCAUUACUGUGAAGUUAAAUGACAAAACCUCAGAUAAAAACAUUCUGAAGCUAAAGGGUAAGAGAUACUGAUGAAAAAACCAUCAGUGAAUCAGUUGAGCUCUGCAAGUCUCAAGAUUUCAAACUGUUUCUUUUUCUUUUUUCGAAUCAAUAAAUCUAAUUUGAUAAAGGCUACCGUUCAAAAGUUUAGGGGCGGUAAGAUUUUUAAGACACUUAUGCUCACCAAG
ensembl:lncRNA